UACGUAGGGUGCAAGCGUUGUCCGGAAUUAUUGGGCGUAAAGAGCUCGUAGGCGGUCUGUCACGUCGGCUGUGAAAACCCGGGGCUCAACCCCGGGCCUGCAGUCGAUACGGGCAGACUAGAGUGCGGUAGGGGAGACUGGAAUUCCUGGUGUAGCGGUGAAAUGCGCAGAGUAUCAGGAGGAACACCGGUGGCGAAGGCGGGUCUCUGGGCCGUAACUGACGCUGAGGAGCGAAAGCGUGGGGAGCGAACAGG
rnacentral:rRNA from 1 species